rnacentral:rRNA from 1 species
UACGAAGGGGGCUAGCGUUGCUCGGAAUCACUGGGCGUAAAGCGCGCGUAGGCGGUUCUUUAAGUCAGGGGUGAAAUCCUGGAGCUCAACUCCAGAACUGCCUUUGAUACUGGGGAUCUCGAGUCCGGAAGAGGUGAGUGGAACUCCGAGUGUAGAGGUGAAAUUCGUAGAUAUUCGGAAGAACACCAGUGGCGAAGGCGGCUCACUGGUCCGGUACUGACGCUGAGGUGCGAAAGCGUGGGGAGCAAACAGG